rnacentral:rRNA from 1 species
UUGGUGCCUUCGGGAACUCAGAGACAGGUGCUGCGUGGCUGUCGUCAGCUCGUGUCGUGAGAUGUUGGGUUAAGUCCCGUAACGAGCGCAACCCUUGUCCUUAUUUACCAGCACGUAAUGGUGGGCACUCUAAGGAGACUGCCGGUGACAAACCGGAGGAAGGUGGGGAUGACGUCAAGUCAUCAUGGCCCUUACGGCCAGGGCUACACACGUGCUACAAUGGUUGGUACAACGGGCUGCCAAGCCGCGAGACGGAGCUAAUCCCAUAAAACCAAUCGUAGUCCGGAUCGCAGUCUGCAACUCGACUGCGUGAAGUCGGAAUCGCUAGUAAUCGUGGAUCAGAAUGCCGCGGUGAAUACGUUCCCGGGCCUUGUACACACCG